UAGGGAAUCUUCGGCAAUGGACGAAAGUCUGACCUAGCAACGCCGCGUGAGUGAAGAAGGUUUUCGGAUCGUAAAACUCUGUUGUUAGAGAAGAACAAGGACGUUAGUAACUGAACGUCCCCUGACGGUAUCUAACCAGAAAGCCACGGCUAACUACGUGCCAGCAGCCGCGGUAAUACGUAGGUGGCAAGCGUUGUCCGGAUUUAUUGGGCGUAAAGCGAGCGCAGGCGGUUUCUUAAGUCUGAUGUGAAAGCCCCCGGCUCAACCGGGGAGGGUCAUUGGAAACUGGGAGACUUGAGUGCAGAAGAGGAGAGUGGAAUUCCAUGUGUAGCGGUGAAAUGCGUAGAUAUAUGGAGGAACACCAGUGGCGAAGGCGGCUCUCUGGUCUGUAACUGACGCUGAGGCUCGAAAGCGUGGGGAGCAAACAGG
rnacentral:rRNA from 1 species